AAUGAACGCUGGCGGCAUGCCUAACACAUGCAAGUCGAACGAGACCUCCGGGACAAGUGGCGCACGGGUGUGUAACGUGUCGGAACCUGCCGUUAGGCUCGGGAUAAUUCUCUGUCAGGGGUGCUAAUACCGGAUAAUGUCCUCGGAUCAAAGAUUUAUCGCCCUGGGAUGGGCCCGCGUUGGAUUAGCCAGUUGGUAGGGUAAAAGCCUACCAAGGCGACGAUCCAUAGCUGGUCUGAGAGGAUGAUCAGCCACACUGGGACUGAGACACGGCCCAGACUCCUACGGGAGGCAGCAGUGGGGAAUAUUGGACAAUGGGCGAAAGCCUGAUCCAGCAAUGCCGCGUGAGUGAUGAAGGCCUUAGGGUUGUAAAGCUCUUUUACCCGGGAUGAUAAUGACAGUACCGGGAGAAUAAGCUCCGGCUAACUCCGU
rnacentral:rRNA from 1 species